UGGGAAGGGUUGAUGCAUUAGGGGAAGCCGUGGGCUAGGCUUUGACGAACAUUUGGGGAGGUGUAGGACUGGUGCCAGCCUCUGCUCUGGUCCCCAGCAUUUCUUCUGCAAGGGAAUUUGGGGAAUCAAAGUGUGGGUCAACCUAGAGCCUGCUGCACCAAGUGGCCUCGUGGGCUGCUGAACACAAGACACAGAACAAGCUCCAAGGGUGCUGCACCCACCACUGAGCUCAGAGGCAGACACCAGGGAGCUCACCUCAGCCCGAGCAAGCAGAUUUUCUGCACCAGCUAACCGCAAGAAGCCGAGGCCUAGCCAGAGCACACGUACGUGCCGAGGAGACCGUGCCAAAAGUGAGCGCAUGUGCCGAGGAGCCCGUGACCUCGGGGAGCACAGGACCACAGGAGACCCAUGCUCUUCAUUAAAACAAAGAAACCCAGCAGCUGGUAAACGUGAACGUGAACGAGUAAAGGAGCUAACUUCAUGUUAGCACUGAAUAUCCAAGUUGGAAGGGACCCACAAGGAUCAUUGAAUCCUAUUCCUGACUCCACACAGGCCCACCCAAAAAUCAGACCCUAUACUGAGGGUGUUGUCCAAACACUCCUUGAAGUCCCUCAGGCUCGGUGCUGUGCCCACUGCCCUGUGCAGCCUGUCCUAGUGCCUGACCCCCUCUGGGUGCAGACCCUUUCCCUAACCCCCAGCCUGACCCUCCCCUGUCCCAGCUCCACGCCGUUCCCUCGGGUCCUUUGGCACCAGCCUUCAUUCAGGUAUCACUGAGAGAUCAGUGACAACGCUGCGUUACAUUUCUGAUGGUGUUUUACAUCCUAUUCUUUCAAGUUAAUUAACAUUUUGUUUAACAAUGACAAUCUUGCACAGAUAAGGGAUGGCUGUUGUUUACCGGUGUGCUGGCUGGCAUCACCCCUGUGUUUAUCUGUCAAGAAUAUCUCAUUUCACUGACUUUCAGAUUAGAUUUUAAAAGCAAGACCCUAGAGGGAAAAUGCCCUUCACCACAUUUCUCAUGAGUCGAUGUUUAUGAUGAGCAGCUUACGGCACUAAUUAUUUCUAACUGUCACUAAAUCCCCCUUUCCUCCUUAUUAGAGCAGAAUUAACCAGACGGGAUUUUGUUAGAGAGCAGCUAGGCUUAAAACCAAAAAGCUGCACUCCAGCUGGAGGUGGAAGAGCCAAGGAGACAGAGGCCGAGGGGCCGGGCUGUUGGUGCCGUGCCCCUUCCUGCGGGUCUGCAGGCUGCUCAACUUCAAAGGCAGCACCAAGAAGCUGGCAGAAAGCUUGGCUUCGUGUUGUCCCGGCCAUCCUCACUUCUGUUUGUUUGUUUUAAAACGCUCCACUCCACCGGUGGACGCGGUCAGCUACGUUACAACACUGUUUCCAGACACGGAGGAGUGUUUAUAAAUCCGUGGGGAAAGAGUUAGCUAUCUUUUGAAAACAGGCUACUUACGUAUCUGGGCCUAAAGGGCUUCUUGGUGUUCGGUGCCGAGCCCUCUCCCAGCAGCCUCCCCCCUGCUCUGGGUCGUGUUUGUAGGGCCGACCCCGACCUUUCUUUGUUGUUGUCCCUGCAGGGACAUGCCCGUGACCCUCGGGAACAGGCGAGCUCUCAGUGACACCAGCGGCACAGGGAGGCUGCAGGAGACUGAGAUGGGCU